rnacentral:rRNA from 1 species
GAUGAACGCUAGCGGGAGGCCUAACACAUGCAAGCCGAGCGGUAGAGUUUCUUCGGAAACUUGAGAGCGGCGCACGGGUGCGUAACACGUGUGCAACCUACCUUUAUCUGGGGGAUAGCCUUUCGAAAGGAAGAUUAAUACCCCAUAAUAUAAUGAUUGGCAUCAAUUAUUAUUGAAAACUCCGGUGGAUAGAGAUGGGCACGCGCAAGAUUAGAUAGUUGGUGAGGUAACGGCUCACCAAGUCAAUGAUCUUUAGGGGUCCUGAGAGGGAGAUCCCCCACACUGGUACUGAGACACGGACCAGACUCCUACGGGAGGCAGCAGUGAGGAAUAUUGGACAAUGGGUGAGAGCCUGAUCUAGCCAUCCCGCGUGAAGGAUGACGGUCCUAUGGAUUGUAAACUCCUUUUGUACAGGGAUAAACCUACCCUCGUGAGGGUAGCUGAAGGUACUGUACGAAUAAGCACCGGCUAACUCCGU